AACGAACGCUGGCGGCAUGCCUAACACAUGCAAGUCGAACGAGACCUUCGGGUCUAGUGGCGCACGGGUGCGUAACGCGUGGGAACCUGCCCUUAGGUUCGGAAUAACUCCCCGAAAGGGGUGCUAAUACCGGAUAAUGUCUUCGGACCAAAGAUUUAUCGCCUUUGGAUGGGCCCGCGUUGGAUUAGCUAGUUGGUAGGGUAAAAGCCUACCAAGGCGACGAUCCAUAGCUGGUCUGAGAGGAUGAUCAGCCACACUGGGACUGGGACACGGCCCAGACUCCUACGGGAGGGAGCAGUGGGGAAUAUUGGACCAUGGGCGAAAGCCUGAACCCGCAAUGGCGCGUGAGUGAUGAAGGGCUUAGGGUUGUAAAGCUCUUUUAACCGGGAUGAUAAUGACAGUACCGGGAGAAUAAGCUCCGGCUAACUCCGUG
rnacentral:rRNA from 1 species